rnacentral:lncRNA from 7 species
UACAGAUUGGUGUUUGGGGCAAAGCUGCACCUGAAUACUCAGUGGCUAAAAUGCUCAGGAGUACCUGGGAUAAAAUAUAAAACUUGGUGUUAAAGGGAGAAGCAUCACUGAACAAGCCUGAAUCAGCACUACUGGCUUUCAUGGAAACCAUAAAAGGUGAAUGAAAUCUCUAGAUGGCUCUCCCUCUCUCCCUGUGUUUAUACACACACCUAAACACUGACUGGGAAAGUAAAUUCUGCCAGAUAGAAGACUUGAGAUAAAUGCCCCUUUCAGACCCUGGAUCAAGUUCUGAAUUGAUAUCUCAAAUGCAAAUCCCAUGAACUGCGAUGGAAGCAAACAGAGGACAGGAAGAGAAAAAAUGGAAUGGUAUUAGAUGGGAACCAAAGGGAAUCUGCAGUUUAAUUUCACAAACCUACCCCCAGUAAGAAAGGGUGGAACUAUCAUAGCAUGUACCCCAGGCUGCACCAAUUCCAGCUUGCACACUGUAUCACCAUCCACUCCUAGAGGAAGGUUUUGAGCUUUUUCAGCUCCAUCAGCACAGAGCAACAUCUGGAUGCAGGACUUAAGGAUUUUUCCAGUGAACAAAAUCUAUUAGCGAAGAGUCAAACAUUGGGAUUUAGUGGUCAAACGAUCAGCUCUUCCUCUCGGCAUAAUACUCUACAGUAUUUGUGAAGAUUGGAAGUUUUAAAAGGGCAGGAGAUUUAGAAAGCUGUCCAGAGUUAAAACUGUUUAUUUCUUCUUGGAUAAAAAUACUUCUACACAUCUGAGCAUGUCCCAGAUAUUACGCUCUGUAAGUACGAUGUCUCUAAGAUAAAGAAUCCUGUAUAAAUAGUCAGCUCAUCAAGUUAUUUCUUCUGUGAAUGGAUACAUCACAGACCUGAUACAUGCAAACCCAAAGUGCAUAAAAGAAAAACAUAACUUAAUGAGAGAGGGCCUUGGAAAAUUGUUAAAGAGAAAUUAAGGUGCUCUGUUUCCAUAUUCUGUGAUGCCCAAUCCUAAAUGCUAUACGCCUGCAUGCAGAUACAUCCCAUUCAGUUGCUACUUACACUAAACAGUCAUACAGCAACUCUGUCUGUAGGUUGUAUUUUCCUCCCCACACACUUAAUUUUUGCCUAGAAAUAGUGCUGGCU